UGCCUGGAACGGAGAGGAAACGAGAGGCCGUGAGUAUUCACCAGAGUGGAGGGUACUCCAGAAGUCAUUCUUGCGAGACAUUGCGAUUCGUCAAAUAUACCUAGCUCCUGUGCGAUCCCAACAUCCUACUGAGAGUCUCCAAUUUGAAAUUAACGCAGAUUACAAAUCACGAAAAUUAACUGGACAACCUCCCACAGGAUCUUCCUCUAACAAGCGCUUGCACCACCAUAAGCACCGGAGAGAUGCACUACUGGAAACCGUUCAGUGGCGAAACCCUAGAAAAGCCACGCAAGACCCUCCUACCCACAAGUAACACUUAAGAAGAAGUAAUUAGGUUUAAUCUUUUUAAUGAGGAAAUGUGUCACGCUUCAUUAGAUCUUAAUGAAAA